rnacentral:rRNA from 1 species
AUUGAACGCUGGCGGCAUGCUUUACACAUGCAAGUCGAACGGUAACAGGCCGCAAGGUGCUGACGAGUGGCGAACGGGUGAGUAAUGCAUCGGAACGUGCCCAGUCGUGGGGGAUAACGCAACGAAAGCUGCGCUAAUACCGCAUACGAUCUCUGGAUGAAAGCGGGGGACCGAAAGGCCUCGCGCGAUUGGAGCGGCCGAUGUCAGAUUAGGUAGUUGGUGGGGUAAAGGCCCACCAAGCCAACGAUCUGUAGCUGGUCUGAGAGGACGACCAGCCACACUGGGACUGAGACACGGCCCAGACUCCUACGGGAGGCAGCAGUGGGGAAUUUUGGACAAUGGGCGCAAGCCUGAUCCAGCAAUGCCGCGUGCAGGAAGAAGGCCUUCGGGUUGUAAACUGCUUUUGUACGGAACGAAACGGUCCGGGUUAAUACCCUGGGCUAAUGACGGUACCGUAAGAAUAAGCACCGGCUAACUACGUGCCAGCAGCCGCCGUAACAC